UGCGUAGGGGGCGAGCGUUAUCCGGAUUUAUUGGGCGUAAAGGGCGCGCAGGCGGCACAGGGCAGUGGCCCGUGGAAUCUCCCCGCUCAACGGGGAGGGGUCGGGCCAGACGACUGUGCUUGGGGCAGGCAGAGGGCCGCGGAACGGGCGGAGUAGGGGUGAAAUCCGUAGAGACCGUCCGGAACACCAGUGGCGAAGGCGGCGGCCUGGGCCUGAACUGUAAAGCUGCCCGCAAGGGUCCCGACGCUCGGG
rnacentral:misc_RNA from 1 species